GACGAACGCUGGCGGCGUGCCUAACACAUGCAAGUGGAGCGACGAACCAGGGCUUGCCCUGGGGCCAAGCCGCGAACGGGUGAGUAACACGUGGGUAACCUGCCCCGAUGACCGGGACAACCCGAGGAAACUCGGGCUAAUACCGGAUGUGGUGGACACACUUAAGUGUGUCCACUAAAGGAAGCUUCGGCCUCCGCAUUGGGAUGGGCCCGCGGCCCAUUAGCUAGUUGGUGGGGUAAAGGCCUACCAAGGCAACGAUGGGUCGCUGGUCUGAGAGGACGAUCAGCCACACUGGGACUGAGACACGGCCCAGACUCCUACGGGAGGCAGCAGUGGGGAAUCUUGCGCAAUGCGCGAAAGCGUGACGCAGCAACGCCGCGUGAGGGAAGACGGCC
rnacentral:rRNA from 1 species